GACGAACGCUGGCGGCGUGCCUAAUACAUGCAAGUAGAACGCUGAAGGAGGAGCUUGCUCUUCUGGAUGAGUUGCGAACGGGUGAGUAACGCGUAGGUAACCUGCCUGGUAGCGGGGGAUAACUAUUGGAAACGAUAGCUAAUACCGCAUAAGAGUAGAUGUUGCAUGACAUUUGCUUAAAAGGUGCAAUUGCAUCACUACCAGAUGGACCUGCGUUGUAUUAGCUAGUUGGUGGGGUAACGGCUCACCAAGGCGACGAUACAUAGCCGACCUGUGAGGGGGAUCGGCCACACUGGGACUGAGACACGGCCCAGACGCCUACGGGAGGCAGCAGUAGGGAAUCUUCGGCAAUGGACGGAAGUCUGACCGAGCAACGCCGCGUGAGUGAAGAAGGUUUUCGGAUCGUAAAGCUCGGUUGUAAGAGAAGAACGAGUGUGAGAGUGGAAAGUUCACACUGUGACGGUAUCUUACCAGAAAGGGACGGCUAACUACGUG
rnacentral:rRNA from 1 species